GGAUUGGGCUGCGGGUGUAUUUUGUGUGUGUGUGUCUUUGCGCGCAUCCUUCAGUCCGUUCUAAUUCUCAUUGAAAUGCCUGCUGUCCUCUGCGCCUUUCUUGUGAACACUCCUAGCCCAAGAAACUUUUUUUAAUAGCGAGAGGGAGAAGCUUUGUGUUGUUUUAGACACCCCAGGGGGCCAGACUCGAGGAUCCCGGGUCAUCUUCGCCCAGAAGCACUCUCCUGCUGCACAUCUCCUAGAUGUCUAAGGGUUUGAUUUUCUCAGCAGUAUUUACCGAUCAGAAAAAUAGCUGUCCUGAAGCAGAGGGGAAUAUCCCGCUACACGUUUGAUUUUUUAUUUGUUUGUUUGGGUUUGUGGUUUGUUUAUUACUGAUAGUCUGAAGUAUGAAGUGCCCCGAAUCUUUUAGGACCAGUUGGACUGUCUGCCCCGCGUGUGAGAGACAGCUAUCUGAAUGCACUUGCUGGAGCAGGAGAUCUACGGCUUUUGAGGGAAGCCAAUCUUUUGCAAAGCAUGCAGGCACCGGGAGAAUAUUUCUGCACAGAAGAGGCCAAAAUGUGAACAUCAAAUACCCUCCUAGUCUUUGUUGCUAAAGCACCUUUUGCUGAUCAGCUGGGGUCGGGGAGGGAACCAACCCCCCCCCCCUUCCUGCUAGAUAUCUAGUUUAUGGCAAGAGCUAUAUUUCCAGUCUGACUUUGCAUUUUGGGGACAUAUUGGCUUAGGCUCUGACUAAAAACCUUUUUAACCUUGGUUUUUAUUAUACGCUGUUUCUGAAUAAGUUGACCGGCACAGAGCCAUUCGCGCCUUUUGCAGAAGAGGAAGAAAACCAAACCACGGCCACCUCCAAUGGCUGCAGUUCUGCACCAGUCCCAGCCAGGGAAGAGGGAUGGAAAGAAGCAUGCCUAGUUCAGGGGGGAAAUAAAGAACAUUGGAACACGCAGGCUUUGAACUUAGCAUAGCCGAGAGGGUUCUGUUCUCUCAGCUGGAAUGUGACCUACAACACGGCACGUAAGAACGGCCUAGAUGCGUGUGUGCCUGCAACGCACGGUCAAGAUGCAAACUUUCCACAGGCAUCGAUGGGGACAGGAGAAAACAAACUCAAACUGGCCCAGGAUCUGCAUAGAGACAGCGAGGACUCGACAGAGACAGGUUACACCUCCCCAGGCCUAGCGUGGGCUGGACUUUUCCUGCCUAUGAGGAAUUGCCUGGUCAGGAAGAGAUUAAUGUCAUUGUCUUCUACGUGCAAUGCUUUGAGUGGCUCUCGUUGACUGGCUGGCUUGGCUGUAUAACUCCAAGGCAAGGAUGAAAGUCUGGGGGAUCCAGGGAGGGAAGGAGCUACCUUACUGCCCACAUGGACGCUAGAGGCCCCUGGCUGUCUUGCAGAAGGAAAUUCUGCCAUCCCGCUGGCCUGACCCUAUCCCAGAGGGCUCCGCCAACCGAUUCCAUCCACGUCCGGGGGUCAGGCAGGCCUGGAAGGCGACUCACUUAGCGACGGAGAUUCAUGCUGCGCACCUCACGCCACCACAACUGGGCUUCUCCGGGGGCGAAGUGGCUUGAUCAGAAGAUGUGAUGUUGGAUGAGCACAAAAGCCACAGGAACGGCCCGGUAUUUGUAAGAGGUUCCAUUUGAAGAUUUGUUUCCUUUCCAAAAUAAAAACAGUGACUAGCGUG